rnacentral:rRNA from 1 species
GACGAACGCUGGCGGCGUGCUUAACACAUGCAAGUCGAACGGAAAGGCCCUGCUUUUGUGGGGUGCUCGAGUGGCGAACGGGUGAGUAACACGUGAGUAACCUGCCCUUGACUUUGGGAUAACUUCAGGAAACUGGGGCUAAUACCGGAUAGGAGCUCCUGCUGCAUGGUGGGGGUUGGAAAGUUUCGGCGGUUGGGGAUGGACUCGCGGCUUAUCAGCUUGUUGGUGGGGUAGUGGCUUACCAAGGCUUUGACGGGUAGCCGGCCUGAGAGGGUGACCGGCAACAUUGGGACUGAGAUACGGCCCAGACUCCUACGGGAGGCAGCAGUGGGGAAUAUUGCACAAGGGGCGGAAGCCUGAUGCAGCAACGCCGCGUGCGGGAUGACGGCCUUCGGGCUGUAAACCGCUUUCGCCUGUGACGAAGCGUGAGUGACGGUAAUGGGUAAAGAAGCACCGGCUAACUACGU